rnacentral:rRNA from 1 species
UACAGAGGUCCCAAGCGUUGUUCGGAUUCAUUGGGCGUAAAGGGUGUGUAGGUGGCGCCGUAAGUCGGGUGUGAAAUCUCGGGGCUUAACUUCGAAACUGCAUUCGAUACUGCGGUGCUUGAGGACUGGAGAGGAGACUGGAAUUCAUGGUGUAGCAGUGAAAUGCGUAGAGAUCAUGAGGAACACCGGUGGCGAAGGCGGGUCUCUGGGCCGAUACUGACGCUGAGGAGCGAAAGCGUGGGGAGCGAACAGG